CCUACGGGCGGCUGCAGUGAGGAAUAUUGGUCAAUGGGCGCAAGCCUGAACCAGCCAUCCCGCGUGCAGGAAGACGGCCCUAUGGGUUGUAAACUGCUUUUCCAGGGGACGAAUAGUUUCUACGUGUAGAGACCUGACGGUACCUUGGGAAUAAGCAUCGGCUAACUCCGUGCCAGCAGCCGCGGUAAUACGGAGGAUGACAGCGUUAUCGGGAUUAAAGGGGUUUAAAGGGUGCGUAGGCGGAUGCGUUGAAAUCCUACAGCUUAACUGUAGAACUGCCAUUGAUACUGUUAGUCUUGAGUUUGGUUAAGGUAGGCGGAAUGUGUAAUGUAGCGGUGAAAUGCUUAGAUAUUACACAGAACACCAAUUGCGAAGGCAGCUUACUGGACCGACACUGACGCUGAGGCACGAAAGCGUGGGGAUCGAACAGGAUUAGAUACCCUAGUAGUC
rnacentral:rRNA from 1 species